GGGGGGAAGGAGCUUGCGUCACAUUAGUUAGUUGGUGGGGUAAAGGCCUACCAAGACUAUGAUGUGUAGCCGGGCUGAGAGGUUGAACGGCCACAUUGGGACUGAGACACGGCCCAAACUCCUACGGGAGGCAGCAGUAGGGAAUUUUCGGCAAUGGAGGAAACUCUGACCGAGCAACGCCGCGUGAACGAUGAAGUAUUUCGGUACGUAAAGUUCUUUUAUUAGGGAAGAAUAAAUGAUGGAAAAAUCAUUCUGACGGUACCUAAUGAAUAAGCCCCGGCUAACUAUGUGCCAGCAGCCGCGGUAAUACAUAGGGGGCAAGCGUUAUCCGGAAUUAUUGGGCGUAAAGGGUGCGUAGGCGGUUAAAUAAGUUUAUGGUCUAAGUGCAAUGCUCAACAUUGUGAUGCUAUAAAAACUGUUUAGCUAGAGUAAGAUAGAGGCAAGUGGAAUUCCAUGUGUAGUGGUAAAAUGCGUAAAUAUAUGGAGGAACACCAGUAGCGAAGGCGGCUUGCUGGGUCUUUACUGACGCUGAGGCACGAAAGCGUGGGGAGCAAACAGGAUUAGAUACCCUGGUAGUCCACGCCGUAAACGAUGAGUACUAAACGUUGGGUAAAACCAGUGUUGAAGUUAACACAUUAAGUACUCCGCCUGAGUAGUACGUACGCAAGUAUGAAACUUAAAGGAAUUGACGGGACUCCGCACAAGCGGUGGAUCAUGUUGUUUAAUUCGAAGGUACCCGAAAAACCUCACCAGGUCUUGACAUGCUUCUGCAAAGCUGUAGAAACACAGUGGAGGUUAUCAGUUGCACAGGUGGUGCAUGGUUGUCGUCAGCUCGUGUCGUGAGAUGUUGGGUUAAGUCCCGCAACGAGCGCAACCCUUAUUGUUAGUUACCAGCACGUAAUGGUGGGGACUUUAGCAAGACUGCCAGUGAUAAAUUGGAGGAAGGUGGGGACGACGUCAAAUCAUCAUGCCCCUUAUGACCUGGGCUACAAACGUGAUACAAUGGCUGUUACAAAGGGUAGCUGAAGCGCAAGUUUUUGGCGAAUCUCAAAAAAACAGUCUCAGUUCGGAUUGAAGUCUGCAACUCGACUCAUGAAGUGGAAUCGCCUUAAGGUUA
rnacentral:rRNA from 1 species